rnacentral:rRNA from 1 species
GACGAACGCUGGCGGCGUGCUUAACACAUGCAAGUCGAACGGAAAGGCCCUGCUUUUGUGGGGUGCUCGAGUGGCGAACGGGUGAGUAACACGUGAGUAACCUGCCCUUGACUUUGGGAUAGCUUCAGGAAACUGGGGCUAAUACCGGAUAGGAGCUCCUGCUACAUGGUGGGGGUUGGAAAGUUUCGGCGGUUGGGGAUGGACUCGCGGCUUAUCAGCUUGUUGGUGGGGUAGUGGCUUACCAAGGCUUUGACGGGUAGCCGGCCUGAGAGGGUGACCGGCCACAUUGGGACUGAGAUACGGCCCAGACUCCUACGGGAGGCAGCAGUGGGGAAUAUUGCACAAUGGGCGGAAGCCUGAUGCAGCAACGCCGCGUGCGGGAUGACGGCCUUCGGGUUGUAAACCGCUUUCGCCUGUGACGAAGCGUGAGUGACGGUAAUGGGUAAAGAAGCACCGGCUAACUACGUG